rnacentral:ncRNA from 2 species
CGACCAUCUAGAGCAACUGAGAGACCUGGCUCGCGGACGUUGCAGCAACCCCCGCUUGCGGUGCGGGUGCUUCCGCCAGGACCGAUGGAGG